CUACGGGCCGCAGCAGUGGGGAAUAUUGCACAAUGGAGGAAACUCUGAUGCAGCAACGCCGCGUGGAGGAUGACACCUUUCGGAGCGUAGACUCCUUUUAUAUAGGAAGAAGAUGACGGUACUAUAUGAAUAAGCGCCGGCUAACUCCGUGCCAGCAGCCGCGGUAAUACGGAGGGCGCAAGCGUUACUCGGAAUCACUGGGCGUAAAGAGCGUGUAGGCGGAUUAAAAAGUCAGAAGUGAAAUCCUAUAGCUUAACUAUAGAACUGCUUCUGAAACUCUUAAUCUAGAAUAUGGGAGAGGUAGAUGGAAUUUCUGGUGUAGGGGUAAAAUCCGUAGAGAUCAGAAGGAAUACCGAUUGCGAAGGCGAUCUACUAGAACAUUAUUGACGCUGAGACGCGAAAGCGUGGGGAGCAAACAGGAUUAGAUACCCCCGUAGUC
rnacentral:rRNA from 1 species